rnacentral:rRNA from 1 species
UGGGUAACCUGCCUCAAAGAGGGGAAUAGCCUCCCGAAAGGGAGAUUAAUACCGCAUAAUAUGUUUAAGUCGCAUGACUUUAACAUCAAAGGAUUUUCUUUUAGAAAUUCCACUUUGAGAUGGACCCGCGGCGCAUUAGCUAGUUGGUGAGGUAACGGCUCACCAAGGCAACGAUGCGUAGCCGACCUGAGAGGGUGAUCGGCCACAUUGGAACCGAGACACGGUCCAGACUCCUACGGGAGCAG